GCUUCGCGCCCCGCGUCUGCGGCCCCGGAGCCCGGGCGGCCUGCUCCUCCCGGCGCGGCCCCAGCCCGGCGUCCGGCCCGGCUCCACCGCGGCCGGCGCUCCCGGUCUGGCCGGACGCUGGCCGGAGGACGGGGAGCCGCCGCCGGGAGCCACCGCUUUAGGAGGGCCGAGGGGAGCGGGCGGGGCUGUGCCAAGCACCGCAGCGUUUCCCCGGCCCCCGCCUCUGCCGGGUUCUUGUCACCAACCCGAUUUUUACCGAGGAGGGAGUUCUGAAGCACAGGGAACGCCUGCGCUUUCUGUCAGCGAGAGAUGGGACUUGAACAUGUGAAGACUGCAAAGGAUCUUUCCCUUGUGGACUGGAGACCAGCAAUGGCUGGACAUCUGUCUGCUCCGUGUGAGCCCGCACGUAUGUUCAGAACUUUUCAUGAAAAGGAAAGUGUCUGAAGAAAGACUGCAUGAGGUCACAAGAAACUUCAAUCAACGAAAAUUCUGAGACGGCAGCUUAUUUGUUCACCGAAGAGUGACAAUCAUGGAUACUGCCGGCCACUGAAGCACCCAGGAGGGGCUUUGUCAGGCUGGUCUGUGUCUUUCCAUUUGCUAAGAGCUGCUGCCAGCAUUUUAAAAUCUAUACUGCUAGAGCCAGAGAUGGCUCAGUGGUUAGGGGCACUAGCUGCUCUUCCAGCACCCUAGCAGGCGACCAGCACUCACUCCCACACACCCACACACAGAUACAUAUAGCUAGAAUCAGUCUUUAAUAAUAAAACAGCCCACGACACUAUACUGCCAACUUCCCUUGUCCCAAAACUUAGGCUUCGGACAGAGGGUUGAUGGGACAGAUAGAAGCAAAUUCCUUUCUGCACUUAAGCACUGUGACUCAGGAAGGUAAAACACUCCGUUGGAUAGCGCCCGGCACUAGGCUUAACAAGAGGCGGCAGUCUUCAAUGCCUUGUUUUCAGACAAGCAGGCAGAGAGGAUAAUAAAGAGCACGUGUGGCAAGAGAGCCCUCGAGGGAGACCCAGAACGGGGGGGGGGGGGGCGCAGGAGGAGGCAGGGCACCCAGGAUCAGCGUGAGCAUCCGGGGGCCGGGGCCUCGGGAAGAACAGCCAGUGCUCUUAACCACUGGGCUAUCUCUCCAGCCCUCCUUUAAGCAGUAUUUUUUAAUGUAACAGACUAAUAAAACAUUAACAUAAAGUAAUACACAGUUCACAAGCAAGUAAACUCUGAGAAAAUCAGCCCCAGUGGCUGCCCUACCAAUGUGUGAGAUGGACAGGCAGCCCUCACGGUCCACUUACUGACUUAGAGCUUAGCCCGCGGGACCCGCUCCCUCUUUGCCGGGUAUACCCAGACCUUCGGUCGCAUCAGCAGGGCAACGCAGCGGCACUGGGUGACCUAGAGCCACACUUUAGACUUUAACUUUCUAAGAUCUUAACCUCACAGUCCUCACCUCCUCGAGGUUGCGCCUCUGAGGUGGGCUCCUUACACAGUCAGGUGGAGGUCAGGGUGGGAGGGGCAAAGCACUUGUCAGCAGACUGUCUCAGUGUCAAACACGACAGCCUGGCAGCGGUGUGCACUCCUUUACUCUCAGCUCCUGGAAGCUGUGAGUUCGAGGCCAGCCUGGUCUACAGAGUUAGUUCCAGGACAGCCAACGCUGCACAGAAAAACCCUGUCUCGAAAAACAAACCAAAUCAAACCAAAAAAACCCCAAGACUCUUAGGGUGCCGGUCACUCAAGCACACCUGCUGGAAACCGCAUCAGCUUUUCCCCUCCGUCCUGGGCAGGGAGCCUUGCUGGUCUGUUGCCCACAUUGCUCGCAUCUCUGCAUUCCUAGUUCACAGAAGCAAGUGAUGGUCUCAAGACACAGAUGAGUUUUAAGAAUACUUUAUUUUUUGAGAUUACAUAGUCAUUAUUGCUGAUCUAAUACAAUCACUUAGACAUAAAGAUUUCCAAGAGCUUCUCAGAACUGGUGAUCCUUAGCGGUUUCAUUCCUUUCAGUAAGAUGACAGUAAGAACUAGAUGAUUAUUCAUAUAGAUAGAUAGAUAGAUAGAUAGAUAGUUUAGACUUGUCAAUAUAGAAUUUGCUGGUGUUUCCUAUUUUCUUUCCAUAAUUUUCCUUUAUUAAAAAAGCUUAAUGCAACAAUGCAUUGUGAUUUUUUUUUUUAAACCAUGACAAAGUUAAUUCUGAGGAAACCACAGGAGCAGCAAUUUUAGAUCUGUUCAGAGAAAAGCCAAGCAGCAAAAAAGCUUUGUAGGAGUGUGUGGCUGUGGGGAGCCGUGCUCUGUGCUCUCACAGGAGGGAAACAUGAGGAGGGCCGAGGGAGGGUAGGUUAGAGGCAUUUGUUGAACAAGAAAAAGAAACAGUAUUUCCAGUGAGAAAGCGACAAGGCCCUGCAGCAGCACAAAUUCACUGCAGAUAAAUGGAUCCCGUGGGCCAGGGCCACGCAGCCGGCCAGGUUCACCUUCUCUUCCUUGCCUCCCGGCAGCCAGGGUGCAUCUAAGAGGAGGAGCUGCAACCUGCUGCCAGCAUACAGGACAGACAGACAGGAGCAGGAGAGUGUACCCUAACGCCUGGAGGUGAGUUCUGGGCUACCUUCCCUCUCUCUCCCCAGCUCCUCACAAGCCCUCUGUCCUGGGGAUUCACCCCAGGCCCGGCACAUGCUAAUCAAGUAUCUGUCACUGACCUACAUCCCUAUUAACAUCUGCUUUCUUAAUGACUGCUGACACAAAAGUCUCCAGAGAGAAGGGAACAGAUGUCAUCUGAAACGCACAGGCAGAUACCCCAGCAUGGGCAGCCGAGUGCAAGCUGCCCAGCUUAGAGGGCCAUGUGGCCCCUUCUCGACUUGGAAUGGCUCUUGUCACUAGGCUGUGGCUGGGCACACUCUUAAGUGCCAGCCGCAGGGAGCUGCAGA